CCCUUCUUCCUGCCGUGUCCCCAGGGCAGGACCGCAUCGGAGAGAGUCCGGGAGGAGGCCGCGCUCCUGGGGGCUGGAGACCCGGCGGCGGUGGCCACUGCGCGCUGUUCCAGCCUUGAGGGAGGGAACCGCGGGCCUGGGUCCGCCUUGGGAUUUGGGAACCGGUUUCCUGCCGGGUUGACCUAACUUGAGCCUUCAGUAGUUCCGGGGCGGGUGUUGUGGUCUCCGUUCCAAAGUCGGGAAAACGGUAUCUGGGCUGGCGAAGGGCCGCGAGGGUGGUGGGAGGACCCUGUGGCUGCGCCGAACAGACCGCGGGAACCCACACUGAGUGGGGUGGGACGGGCUGCCACCCCGGCUUUGUCAGCCCCAUGCCCCCUUCUCGCCCUUCAUCCUCUGCUCCCUCACUUAGGCUCCAAUUCCUCCUGAUUUUGUUCUGUUUUUCCCUUCGGGCAUCCAAGGCAGCCACCUGCCCAGGCCUGGGCCUGUUCAAACACUGUCUCCGCUGUACUCCCUAGCUCCUUGAACCCCUACAUUGUCUGCAUUCAGGAAGUUUUGUGGCUUUUUAGGAUUUUUUUUAAACACAGGGUCUGGCUCUGUUGCCCAGGCCGGAGUGCAGUAGUGUGAUCAUAGCUCACUGUAACCUCGAACUCCUGGGCUCCAGCCAUAGGAAGCUUUUAAUAAAACAACCUUUGCUCCGACCGCACCCUGGCCUUGCUGGAUAAAGCCAGGCCUCUCUCUUGGGUUACAGCAGGCCCUUCAGGACUUGGCUGCCCCUCUCUGUUCCAGCUUCUCCUGAUGUUCCUCGCUCACCCCAGAACUCCUUUCCCAAAACUGAGGGAACUCCAGCUUGUCCUUAAGAUCUCAGCUCUGCCCAGUGGUCUCCUUAGACUGGGUGUGAGGGUCCCGCUGUGGACUCCCUGAGCUUAGGGAGAGGGCAGAUUUGUUCCUGCUCUCUCAGGCCCAGUUUAGGCCUCAAGACAAGAGCCCAGGUUGUCUCCUCAGAGCUCAGAAUGCUGCCACCACGUGUGGUCAGACCACUAUUGGCCCAGCUCUAACCAGUAACUGGAGCAAGGCUUAGGAUUGCUGAGAAAGAUUGGGGGCAGCAGAGAAGCUUCUAAGAAAAGGUUAAAUAACACACCUCUUUUUCUUGUUGUUGUUUUUGUUUUUUUGAGACGGAGUCUUGCUCUGUCGCCCAGGCUGGAGUGCAGAGGCGCGAUCUCGGCUCACUGCAACCUCCGCCUCCUGGGUUCAAGCGAUUCUCCUGCCGCAGCCUCCCAAGUAGCUGGGAGUACAGGCAUGUGCCACCACGCCCAGCUAAUUUUUGUAUUUUUAGUAGAGAUGGGAUUUCACCAUGUUGGCCAGGAUCUCGAUCUCCUGACCUCGUGAUCCACCUGCCUUGGCCUCCCAAAGUGCUGGGAUUACAGGCAUGAGCCACCGCGCCCUGCGGAUACUCCUCCAUUAAGAAAAACAUAUUGGCCGGGCGCGUUGGCUCACGCCUGUAAUCCCAGCACUUUGGGAGGCUGUGGCGGGUGGAUCACGAGCUCAGGAGAUCGAGACCAUCCUGGCUAACAUGGUGAAACCCGUCUCUACUAAAAAUACAAAAAAAAUAGCCGGGCGUGGGCCGGGCGCGGUGGCUCAUGUCUGUAAUCCCAGCACUUUGGGAGGCCGAGGCGGAUGGAUCACAAGGUAAGGAGAUCGAGACCAUCCUGGCUAACAGUGAAAGCCCGUCUCUACUAAAAAUACAAAAAAAUUAGCUGGGCAUGGUGGCUGGCGCCUGUAGUCCCAGCUAUUCGGGAGGCUGAGGCAGGAGAAUGGUGUGAACCCGGGAGGCGGAGCUUGCAGUGAGCUGAGAUCACGCCACUGCACUCCAGCCUGGGCAACAGAGCGAGACUCCAUCUCAAAAAAAAAAAAAAAAUUUGAAAAGGCAAAAUGAAGACCAGUCCGAAAAGGUGGCCAUAGGAUGACCUUUGGGAUUCUCUAGGCAUGGCACCUCUCUGACUUAUUCACCAUUGAUGAGGCUGGGCUCUGAUGAGUAGAUUGAUAAGAUAUAGCUAGCUUCUGUCAGGUAGAAAAGAUGACCCAAGAUAAUGGGCUUAUUACCCUGCAGCGCAGCAGGUACUUUUGGAUGUAACUCAGCAAUCUUAUUCCAGCAUUGCUUUUUCAGUGCCUCUGAGUAUUUCAGUCUCUCCAGUUCCCUUUGAACUAGUGUUUCCACCAUUAUAGUUUCUUAACACCUGAAGUAACCUUUGGUACAUACAUUAAAGACAGUCAUGUUUAUAACUUUGGAAAUUAUAUCCUGUGACACAUUUGGAGACUGUCUCACCAAGAUGUCCAAUUGGUUUUGGCUGCCAGAGCCAAUUACACUUUGUUGCACGUGACAUUUGCCUCAUAGGUUCACCUGCCUCAGGCUUCCUGGCUCCAUCCUGUGACUUAUUAUUUUUUUAAUAAUACCCAAGUACAGCUGGGUGUGGUUGCUCACACCUGCAAUCCUAGCACUUUGGGAGGCUGAGGGGGGGUGGAUCACCUGAGGUCAGGAGUUCAAGACCAGCCCGGCCAACACAGUGAAACCCUGUCUCCACUAAAAAUACAAAAAUUAGCCAGGUGUGGUGGUGGGCGCCUGUAAUUCCAGCUACUUGGGAGGCUGAGGAAGGAGAAUCGCUUGAACCCAGGAGGCAGAGAUCUUGCAGUGAGCCGAGAUCACACCACUGCACUCUCGCCUGAGUGACAGAGGCAGACUCCGUCUCAAAAACAAACAAACAAAUAAUACCCAAGUACAUGGGUAUUUUCUUUUAAAAUUCAAACAGUAAAGUUAAAGUUGGUUGGACAAUCACCUCCCAUCCUAGGCCUGUUGUAAAGUUGACUACU
rnacentral:lncRNA from 1 species